UUGGGUUAUUCCAAUUGGUAAAUUUUAUAGAACCACCCUGGCCCAGUGUUAUACAGUUCUGUUAGUCUUUAGUAAGGUUCUAAGGGAACUCUAGUAGAAGAAAGUUGUCAUAGAAUAAUAAAGUUAAGAACAAUGGCCACCGCUUUAUCAUCUGUUACUCACUUCACCUACAUUCAUGGUGAUUGUAAUGCUCUACAGAUGGGUACAACAAACACAAUACAUGAAAAUAGCUACCCAAACGACAUCGACGAUCUCAGAUCGGAAAUUGAAGAUCUGAGAUUUGAUAUCAGAAGAAGAACUGAAGAUGUUGAUGCAAAGAUGGAAAGAAAAGAUGAAGAAAUCGCAGAAUUAAAAGACAGGGUGGCUGACCUGGAAGCAUUUAAGAAGAAAGUAGAACAAUCAGAAGUUACGACAAACACCAACACUAAUACUAGACGUUAUAUCAGGGAUACGAAUAAUGAUAUUACUCUAAAGUUAAAUGACUUUUGGUCAGGUAAUGAUGUGGGUACUAUAACUGUCAGUAAGAAAGUCAGUGUUAAUGAUUUAAUGAAGUUGAUAGAAGAGAAGAAGAAUGUAAAGAUUAGUUGGAUUGUUCUAGGAUAUGAUGGGAGAUUCUACGGCAGUUAUGAUAACAACAAUGACUAUAACCUGGCGCAACUUGGUGUUGGAGACCGGGGCGAGGUGGUGUACCGUUGAUAGUAAAAUACAGUGAUUAUAUUGAUAUGAUGUAUUGAUGGACUCCUUUAUAUUAAACAAUGAGUUGUAGGGUGCGGGGGGGGGGGCAGUAGGAGGUUAGAUAUUUGUAGAGAUACUAUAACUAUCAGUAAGAAAGUCAGUGUUAAUGAUUUAAUGAAGUUGAUAGAAGAGAAGAAAAAUGUAAAGAUUAGUUGGAUUGUUAUAGGAGGAUAUGAUGGGAGAUAUAUCUACGGCAGUUAUGAUAACAACAAUGACUAUAACCUGGAACAACUUGGUGUUGUAGACCAGGACGUGGUUGAGUACUAUACAUGGUAAAAUAUAGUGAUUAUAUUGAUAUGAUAUUUUGAUGUGUUCAACACUUGUAUAUUGCACAGUGGUGUGUGGAGGGUGGGGGGGGGGGUCUGAAGGGGAAUAGAUAUUAUUUUUAGGAAUUAUCAAUUGUUCUUUUGUUUUUUGAGUAGGUGGUGAGGGUGGAAUGUUUAGUAGGUGGUGAGGGUGUUGUGGUGUGGUGUGUGGUAUGAAGCCCACCAGCACCCUGGUAUCUUAUACCCCCCCCCCCCCCCCAUCCACCUAAUCCAUAUAUUGAAUUCUAUUCUAAGUAAUCUAACCUCAUAACACAAAACUCGCUUAAUAAUACAUAUAAUUCAUUCAAUAGUCACAAUUAUCAGGUGAUACAUUAGUCGUGGUUAUCAGGUGAUAUUUGGCUGACCUAGAAUAAUAGAGAACGGUUAACUAACAUGAUUGAACUAUCCAUUGUAUAAUUAUAUUAGUGAAAUAAUGUUUUAUAUUUUUUAUUCUAAUUUUGUUUCAAUAAAAUAUUUUAUAAUUAAA